GGAAAUGUGCCUGAGCAUAUAAGGGUUACUUUGAUAGAGUAAACCACAGGGACUAACACCCCUCAUUUCCU
rnacentral:tRNA from 1 species